UACAGAGGUCUCAAGCGUUGUUCGGAUUCAUUGGGCGUAAAGGGUGCGUAGGUGGCGCGCUAAGUCAGGUGUGAAAUUUCGGGAGCUUAACUCCGAAACUGCAUUUGAUACUGGUGUGCUUGAGGACUGGAGAGGAGACUGGAAUUCAUGGUGUAGCAGUGAAAUGCGUAGAGAUCAUGAGGAAGACCAGUGGCGAAGGCGGGUCUCUGGACAGUUCCUGACACUGAGGCACGAAGGCCAGGGGAGCAAACGGG
rnacentral:rRNA from 1 species